AUUGAACGCUGGCGGCAUGCCUUACACAUGCAAGUCGAACGGUAGAGGGGCAACCCUUGAGAGUGGCGAACGGGUGAGUAGCGUAUCGGAACGUGCCCAGUCGUGGGGGAUAACGUAGCGAAAGUUACGCUAAUACCGCAUACGAUCUAUGGAUGAAAGCGGGGGAUCGCAAGCCCUCGCGCGAUUGGAGCGGCCGAUAUCAGAUUAGGUAGUUGGUGGGGUAAAGGCUCCCCAAGCCGACGAUCUGUAGCUGGUCUGAGAGGACGACCAGCCACACUGGGACUGAGACGCGGCCCAGACUCCUACGGGAGGCAGCAGUGGGGAAUUUUGGACAAUGGGCGCAAGCCUGAUCCAGCCAUGCCGCGUGCAGGAUGAAGGCCUUCGGGUUGUAAACUGCUUUUGUACGGAACGAAAAGGUUUGACUUAAUACGUUGGACUCAUGACGGUACCGUAAGAAUAAGCACCGGCUAACUACGUGCCAGCAGCCGCCGUAA
rnacentral:rRNA from 1 species